rnacentral:lncRNA from 1 species
CCAUCUUUGCAGUAAUAUAAUUACAAGCAUGUAAGCAUGUCUUACCAUAUCUGACUUUUAAAAUGUAGGUUUGGGGGCUUGAACUCAGAGCAGUAUACUUACAGGGAAACCAUUGAGCUAUCUCCUAGCCAAAGGAACAUCACAUCUUUUUUUCUUAAAAACAAAACAAAACAACAAAACCAAUAACAACAUAAAGCCUGGUAAUUAAGAAACAUUAAGAGACAGACUAUCUAAGUUCAAAUUUGGGCUCUUUUUCUUAACUUGUCUGUGUUUAGCUGGAUAAGUAACACAACUUCUCUGAGCCUUAGUUUCUCACUUUACAAAGAAGUAGCAUGAUACUUAUUAGGUUCUUGGAAAAGUUAAAUGACACAAUGUAUAUAAUGUGAUACAAGACAAGCACAAGGAAGGACUAUGUUAAUAUUACUAUUGUAUUAAUUUCUUUAGAAGCAAAGGGUGUUGAGUGAGGUUCACUAUGAGAUGUGAUGCAUUUCAUAAGGCUAUUAUGCGUAUUGGUGAACAGGUGUAAAACUGACUGGCUUGUCCUACUCAUGCACAUGAUUAUACUGCUCAAGUCCUUUAUGCCCUGGACAGAGAGUCAGGAGCAACUGAGAGAGAGACUGAAAAUGAGAAGAUAAACUAUGUCUUAUAUGGCUGAAGAUGGUGAUGAGUGGGAGGUCAAUUUCAUUUUACUCAAGAGAAGGCAUUCAACGAAUUACCCACCCAUGGAGAAGGGUAGCACUAUGGUGAGAAACAGGAACUGGAAGGAAACAUUUACUUAGGCUGGCUGAUGUCAUAUCAGGAGGGAAAGAAGAUCACUGGCUCAUCCUGUGCAUCAGGUACUCUGCUGGCUGUAGCAUGCUGUCUCCUGUCAUUGCUAUCUAACCAGGGCUGCCAUUUCACUUGCAGGAGUGGGAUGGAUGUAAGUAGCAGACAGUGUCUUCCUCAGGAAGGAAUAUACUUAGAGAUGGUAGUUUA